rnacentral:snRNA from 1 species
GUGCUCACUUCAGCAGCACAUGUACUAAAACCAGAAUGAUACAGAGAAGAUGAGCAUGGCCUCUGCGGAACAAUGACAUGCAAAUUUGUGUUCCAUAAUUUUUUU